GUCCGUGCUGCAGUUCGUUAAGACGGCUCGACCUCUGGGGAGAGGAGAAAGGAAAGGACCAGCAGUUGUGGACUGCUUGAGUUUCCCGGCGAGCAGGUUCUUGUCCUGCCUUCCAGUCUCUAGUGCGUGUCCAUUGACCCCGGUGGAUUUUCUCCUGGUUCUCCAUCCGGAUGUCGUCUCGUCCUCGUUGGAACACUCAGCGUUGCUCUUCGCCUCUCUCGGGUGCACGCUGCCUUGUGAUUCAGCUGGUUGAGGGCUUACUGUUCCCCUAGAGCAAUCUCCUCUGGAGUAGGACCAUCGUCAUUAUUCACGUUAC
rnacentral:lncRNA from 1 species